UGUUGGUUAGAGAGAAGGGCAGGUUGGACACAUAGACUGUGCUUCUACUGGGAGCCAAACCACCACUCAUCUUGACUUCACCAUCAGAGUGAGACAGACACUGAAAACAGAUUCAUGCUGCCAAAAACAAAGGAGAACUGUUCGUCGUCACAGGAAUAUGACGUUUCACGUGACUGACUUUUUGUCAAUCCAAUCAAAAUUCAGUGUGUACAUGCGCCAACCGGAAGAAGGUGAGAAGUAGGUAAUGUUAGUAUUGACUGUCUCUAUUGGCAUUACCCACUCCCAAUACUACUACAUAGACUUGUCCAGACAAAACAAUGGCUUACAGGAGAGACCGAAACAUAAGGGAUGUCUAUGAG